rnacentral:rRNA from 1 species
AAAGCAGUAAUGCGCUUCGGGAGGGCCUGCGUCCCAUUAGCUAGUUGGUAGGGUAAAAGCCUACCAAGGCGACGAUGGGUAGCUGGAUCGAGAGGUUGACCAGCCACACUGGGACUGAGAUACGGCCCAGACUCCUACGGGAGGCAGCAGUAAGGAAUCUUCCACAAUGGACGAAAGUCUGAUGGAGCAACACCGCGUGCAGGAUGACGGCCUUAGGGUUGUAAACUGCUUUUAUAGAUGAAGAUUAUGACGGUAAUCUAUGAAUAAGGACCGGCUAACUACGUG